rnacentral:rRNA from 1 species
UAAAGCGCGCGUAGGUGGUUUGUUAAGUUGGAUGUGAAAGCCCUGGGCUCAACCUAGGAACUGCAUCCAAAACUAACUCACUAGAGUACGAUAGAGGGAGGUAGAAUUCAUAGUGUAGCGGUGGAAUGCGUAGAUAUUAUGAAGAAUACCAGUGGCGAAGGGGGGCUCCUGGAUCUGUACUGACACUGAGGUGGGAAAGCGUGGGUAGCGAACAGGAUUAGAUACCCUGGUAGUCCACGCCGUAAACGAUGACAACUAGGUGUUGGGAGACAAUGUCUUUCAGUGGCGCAGCUAACGUUUUAAGUUGUCCGCCUGGGGAGUACGGGCGCAAGGGUAAAACUCAAAUGAAUUGACGGGGACCCGCACAAGCGGUGGAGCAUGUGGUUUAAUUCGAUGCAACGCGAAAAACCUUACCUACUCUUGACAUAUUUGGAAGCUCUUGUAAUGAGAGUGUGCCUUUUGGAACCAAGAUACAGGUGCUGCAUGGCUGUCGUCAGCUCGUGUCGUGAGAUGUUCCGUUAAGUCGGAUAACGAGCGCAACCCUUACCCUUAUUUGCCAGCGAUUCGGUCGGAACUAUAAGGGGACUGCCGGUGAUAAACCGGAGGAAGGUGAGGACGACGUCAAGUCAUCAUGGCCCUUACGAGUAGGGCUACACACGUGCUACAAUGGGGAAUACAGACGGACGCUAAGCCGCGAGGUGGUGCUAAUCCUAGAAAGUUUCUCGUAGUCCGGAUUGGAGUCUGCAACUCGACUCCAUGAAAGUCGAAUCGCUAGUAAUCGCG